rnacentral:rRNA from 1 species
AUGCCCGUGGAAAUUCUUCGGGUUUUGGAGCAGUACACAGAUAUGUUUGAGGAACCCAAAGGCCUUCCACCACGACGUGCUUGCGAUCACAGGAUUCCGCUCAUGGAAGGGGCUCAGCCUGUCAACCUGCGACCAUAUCGGCACAAACCAGAACUCAAGAAUGAAAUUGAACGUCAGAUUAAAGAGCUACUAGAUGCGGGAAUCAUUCGGAGGAGUACCCGUCCAUUCUCCUUCCCAGCUCUACUGGUGAAGAAGAAGGACGGUACCUGGAGGUUAUGCGUGGAUUAUAGAUGUCUGAAUGCAAUGACAAUUGUCAUCAAGUACCCCGUUCCGAUAAUUGAUGAACUGCUAGACGAAUUGGUCGGGGCCAAGUGGUUCUCUAAACUGGAUCUGCGUGUGGGAUACCAUCAGAUCAGAAUGGCAGAGGGCGAGGAGUACAAGACGUCAUUCACUACGCACUCCGGUCAUUGGGAAUUCUUGGUUAUGUCUUUUGGACCGGCGGAGGCUCCCUCAACCUUCAUUGGUGCCGUCACUUGCACUCUGCAACCGCUACUACGAGACUGCGUCAUUCUGUUCUUUGACAAUAUAUUGGUUUUCAGUAAAACUCUAGAGCAACAUGUAGAGCACCUCCGGUGA